UACGAAGGGGGCUAGCGUUGCUCGGAAUUACUGGACGUAAAGCGCACGUAGGCGGCUUUGUAAGUCAGAGGUGAAAGCCUGGAGCUCAACUCCAGAACUGCCUUUGAGACUGCAUCGCUUGAAUCCGGGAGAGGUGAGUGGAAUUCCGAGUGUAGAGGUGAAAUUCGUAGAUAUUCGGAAGAACACCAGUGGCGAAGGCGGCUCACUGGACCGGUAUUGACGCUGAGGUGCGAAAGCGUGGGGAGCAAACAGG
rnacentral:rRNA from 1 species